UCGGGAAUUUUGGGCAAUGGGCGAAAGCCUGACCCAGCAACGCCGCGUGAAGGAUGAAGUAUUUCGGUAUGUAAACUUCGUAAGAAUAGGAAGAAUAAAUGACGGUACUAUUUGUAAGGUCCGGCUAACUACGUGCCAGCAGCCGCGGUAAUACGUAGGGACCAAGCGUUGUUCGGAUUUACUGGGCGUAAAGGGCGCGUAGGCGGUGUGUCAAGUCAGUUGUGAAAUUUCCGAGCUUAACUCGGAACGGUCAACUGAUACUGUCACACUAGAGUACAGAAGGGGCAAUCGGAAUUCUUGGUGUAGCGGUGAAAUGCGUAGAUAUCAAGAGGAACACCUGAGGCGAAGGCGGGUUGCUGGGCUGAUACUGACGCUGAGGCGCGAAAGCGUGGGGAGCAAACAGGAUUAGAUACCCCAGUAGUCCCUGAGCGGGCUGGCAAGGCGCAU
rnacentral:rRNA from 1 species